rnacentral:misc_RNA from 1 species
GUUUUAUGUUACUUGAAGUGUGAUCAUAGUUAUUAAAGGCGCACCUCAUGCACGCCUCAGGCUCCAGCCCUAAAGACUCUACAAGAGAAAGGUGGGCGACAUGCACCAGGUCCUUGCCUUAUGUGCCUAAGCGUGUUCCUUGUUCCAAGUGCAAGGCUAAAAAUGCGUAACUUUUUUAUUUCCACAUUCGGCGAGUACUUCCAUUAACAAAAAGCACUACCACUCAACUAGAAAUUUAUCGAUCUAGAAGUUUUUAAAAUUAGUAUUGCUCGUGAUAACUAGUCACCAAAAUCUC